rnacentral:rRNA from 1 species
GUGGGGAAUAUUGGGCAAUGGGGGAAACCCUGACCCAGCAACGCCGCGUGAGGGAAGAAGGUUUUCGGAUUGUAAACCUCUGUCCUUGGUGACGAAGGAAGUGACGGUAACCAAGGAGGAAGCCCCGGCUAACUACGUGCCAGCAGCCGCGGUAAUACGUAGGGGGCAAGCGUUGUCCGGAAUGACUGGGCGUAAAGGGCGUGUAGGCGGCCGAUUAAGUCUGGAGUGAAAGUCCUGCUUGCAAGGUGGGAAUUGCUUUGGAGACUGGUUGGCUUGAGUGCGGAAGAGGUAAGUGGAAUUCCCAGUGUAGCGGUGAAAUGCGUAGAGAUUGGGAGGAACACCAGGGGCGAAGGCGACUUACUGGGCCGUAACUGACGCUGAGGCGCGAAAGCGUGGGGAGCGAACAGGAUUAGAAACCCUUGUAGUCC